ensembl:lincRNA
CGACCCCCACGGGCAGGGGAAGCCUGCUGAGCCUCUUUUCUCUCCGAGGCAUCCGACUUCUGCCAACGGUGAGUUAGAAGGACGGGGGCCUCAGCCAACAGCAAAAGCCACAGAAGGAUUUUCCGCGCCUGACCUGGACUGUGGUGCCCACACAGCCCUCUUUGUCUUCUCUUUCUCUGGCCCCUCACACAGGUGCUGUUUGUAGAGGACUUACAAGACUGGUGCUUCUGCUUGUGAAGCCCCUCCUGCCUGGGGCUUGUUGGAAAGACACAGAGGGUUCACCUGGAUCAAUUUCUCUCUGUGGAUCAUGGUCCCAAAGGACUGAAAACCCCGUCCCUGGAGGCCCCUGGAGCUCUGAUCUUGGCAAGUGCCCAUGUGGGCUUGGAGGCUUGGGAAGGGGACAUGAAGAAUGGGCCAGGUCCAGGGCUUGUACUGAUUUCCUGUUGCUACUGUGACAAAUUACCCCAUCCAUCUGCAUCUCCUGCCUUUGCUCAUGUUGAGCCCUCAACCUGUAAUGCCCUCCUCCCCUUGUCUCCACUUGGCCAAUUGUCCUUCAUUCUUUAAGACUUAGCUCAGACAUUGCCUCCUCUAGGAAGACUUCCCUGAAGCACAUCCCUCUCACCUCACCUCUGGGCAGGUGCCUACACACAAUGACCUGCAUGUGUCCCCAUCCAUGCAGAUGGCAAAG